rnacentral:tRNA from 1 species
GGGUUGCAGCUCAGUGGUAGAGUGCUUGUCUAGCAUGUGUGAGGCACUGGGUUCAAUUCUCAGCAAUGCA